rnacentral:tRNA from 1 species
ACCUGGCUGGCUGAGUUGGUAGAGUAUGUGACUCUUGAUCUUGGGGUUGUGAGUUCAAGUCCCACGUUGGGUG